CUGAUGCAGCAACGCCGCGUGCGGGAUGACGGCCUUCGGGUUGUAAACCGCUUUUAGUAGGGAAGAAGGGCUUCGGCUUGACGGUACCUGCAGAAAAAGGACCGGCUAACUACGUGCCAGCAGCCGCGGUAAUACGUAGGGUCCGAGCGUUGUCCGGAAUUAUUGGGCGUAAAGAGCUCGUAGGCGGUUUGUCGCGUCUGCUGUGAAAUCUGGAGGCUCAACCUCCAGCCUGCAGUGGGUACGGGCAGACUAGAGUGCGGUAGGGGAGAAUGGAAUUCCUGGUGUAGCGGUGGAAUGCGCAGAUAUCAGGAGGAACACCGAUGGCGAAGGCAGUUCUCUGGGCCGUAACUGACGCUGAGGAGCGAAAGCGUGGGGAGCGAACAGGAUUAGAUACCCUGGUAGUCCACGCCGUAAACGUUGGGCGCUAGAUGUGGGGACCUUUCCACGGUUUCCGUGUCGUAGCUAACGCAUUAAGCGCCCCGCCUGGGGAGUACGGCCGCAAGGCUAAAACUCAAAGGAAUUGACGGGGGCCCGCACAAGCGGCGGAGCAUGCGGAUUAAUUCGAUGCAACGCGAAGAACCUUACCAAGGCUUGACAUAACCGAGAACGCCCUAGAAAUAGGGAACUCUUUGGAC
rnacentral:rRNA from 1 species